CUCUACUUUCCUGUGUCCCUUAAAUGCAGGUGAUGCCCUGCUGUCUGCAUGCUGUCUUCAUCCCAGGACUGAAGUGCAGCUUUGAGGUACAUGGGUCUUGAAGCAGGUUGUGAGAUGAGGGUUGUGUAGGAGAGCCGGUGCAGAGGCAGACCUUGCUGGGUUUCCAAGCCACUACUCACUGCUAUGCCUGGAUCUGUUGGAAUAACCAGGACACCUGCACAUGAAACAAAGCUGUGCUUUUGCCUGCUGGUGGCGGCUGGCUUU